AACGAACGCUGGCGGCAGGCUUAACACAUGCAAGUCGAACGCCCCGCAAGGGGAGUGGCAGACGGGUGAGUAACGCGUGGGAACAUACCCUUUCCUGCGGAAUAGCUCCGGGAAACUGGAAUUAAUACCGCAUACGCCCUACGGGGGAAAGAUUUAUCGGGGAAGGAUUGGCCCGCGUUGGAUUAGCUAGUUGGUGGGGUAAAGGCCUACCAAGGCGACGAUCCAUAGCUGGUCUGAGAGGAUGAUCAGCCACAUUGGGACUGAGACACGGCCCAAACUCCUACGGGAGGCAGCAGUGGGGAAUAUUGGAAAAUGGGCGCAAGCCUGAUCCAGCCAUGCCGCGUGAGUGAUGAAGGCCUUAGGGUUGUAAAGCUCUUUCACCGAUGAAGAUAAUGACGGUAGUCGGAGAAGAAGCCCCGGCUAACUUCGUG
rnacentral:rRNA from 1 species